UACGGGGGGGGCAAGCGUUGUUCGGAAUUACUGGGCGUAAAGGGCUCGUAGGCGGCCAACUAAGUCAGACGUGAAAUCCCCAGGCUCAACCUGGGAACUGCGUCUGAUACUGGAUGGCUUGAAUUCGGGAGAGGGAUGCAGAAUUCCAGGUGUAGCGGUGAAAUGCGUAGAUAUCUGGAGGAACACCGGUGGCGAAGGCGGCAUCCUGGACCGAUACUGACGCUGAUGAGCGAAAGCGAGGGGAGCAAACGGG
rnacentral:rRNA from 1 species